rnacentral:rRNA from 1 species
UACGGGGGGAGCAAGCGUUGUUCGGAUUUACUGGGCGUAAAGGGCGCGUAGGCGGUCAGCACAAGUCAGUUGUGAAAUCUCCGGGCUUAACUCGGAACGGUCAACUGAUACUGUGCGACUAGAGUGCAGAAGGGGCAACUGGAAUUCUCGGUGUAGCGGUGAAAUGCGUAGAUAUCGAGAGGAACACCUGCGGCGAAGGCGGGUUGCUGGGCUGAUACUGACGCUGAGGCGCGAAAGCCAGGGGAGCGAACGGG